rnacentral:rRNA from 1 species
UUGUUGCAGUUAAAAAGCUCGUAGUCGAACCUUGGGGGCACUGCGCCGGUCCGCCGCAAGGCGAGCACUGGAGGCGGCGCCCCUUUCCUCUGCGGUCUCCCCUUCUGGGGGGGGUUGCAGAAUAUUACUUUGAGUAAAUGAGAGUGUUCAAAGCAGGCGCACGCUUGAAUCUGUUAGCAUGGAAUAAUAGAAUAGGACGCAUGGUUCUAUUUUGUUGGUUUCUAGGACCAUCGUAAUGAUUAAUAGGGACGGUCGGGGGCAUCAGUAUUCAGUUGUCAGAGGUGAAAUUCUUGGAUUUACUGAAGACUAACUACUGCGAAAGCAUUUGCCAAGGACGUUUUCAUUAAUCAAGAACGAAAGUUAGGGGAUCGAAGAUGAUCAGAUACCGUCGUAGUCUUAACCAUAAACUAUGCCGACUAGGGAUCGGGCGGCGUUCAUCUAGUGACGCGCUCGGCACCUUACGAGAAAUCAAAGUUUUUGGGUUCUGGGGGGAGUAUGGUCGCAAGGCUGAAACUUAAAGGAAUUGACG